AGGUGCACUGGUGGACAGGUGCGUCUUGUUCUGCUGAUUGCAUGGAGGAGUAUUUAAACAGGAGGCUGCCAGCACUUCGAUGCGAGAGUGUUUGCUUACAGUGGUAACGAACUCAGCCACCUCUAGACUAAGCUUUGUUUUUUGUGCUCCUUGUAACCUUGUUUAUGCUUCUUUGCAGGCUGAGAACCUGACUCUUGGAUUUACUGCCUCAGAAGACUCUGUGGCUAAAGACUACCUACAGACUUUGCUUCCUGAAUUAUUGUCUUCGACUGAAUUUCGCUCUGGCUGGCAGCCAUCCUGAUUCCUUCGUUUCUCUGCAUCUGGACAUUAAGUGUAUCCUGUCCACCCUCCUACAUAAGCCAUUACAACUUGAAUUACCUCAAGGUUUUUGCUCCACCUCAGAACAGCACCAGGAGAAAACAUCAAGACGAACACUGCUUACAUGGACCUAAACCCCGAAUCCCUCAACCCCUGGCAACCUGACUGCAUCAAACUAUUGGAGAUUUACCCAUUCUUGUUCUUGAUUAUUAGUCACUCAAUAAGCAUCAUUUUACUGAUUUUCGUUCUCUGGAAUGUCCUUCUGUAUGUGGGUCAGAGCUGUUUCGAACAUAAUGACAGAACACUCUCGCCAACCAGACCCAGAAGAGGCACUCCACAGAACACUUUCUGAACACGCUAAUCAGAUCCAAUUUCAUGAUUCUUCUCUCCGUUCCCUUUCAGAGAAACUAUGACAAACAAACCAACAGUUAGAACAGAUAACCGCCAUGUUACAACAGACUUUAAAUCCUCAUUCCGCCAUACAGGUAGAUUGCGCUGCCGCACCGCCAGAGUCUCAACAACUUCUGCAUUCCUGUGACAUCACCUCCCCUAACCCAGAGGAGGUUUCUGGUGAGGUGGGGCAUUUUAAAGGAUUCUUAUAGGAUUUCGUACCCUAGCUGUUGCCUCUGGUUGGAAUAAUGAUGCAUUAAAGACAACCUUUUUCACGCCUUAGAGGAUGCCCUACAGGAUGAAUUAGCCUUGGUGGAUGAACCCCCCACAUUAGAUGAAGUGAUUACCUUGGCAACUAGAGUUAACAAUGGACUAAGAGAAAGAAGAAGAGCCAGUGCCUUGAGAUCCAGACCUUUAGAGACAACAAAUUUUUCACCCUGUGUUAAAACACCAUCUCAGCAAUCCAUUUCUGAUCCUGAGCCUAUGUUGUUGGGAUGAACCUGUCUUUUGUUUGAGGAGAAACAGAGACGUAAACUAACCAGACAGUGUUUUUACUGUGGCUCACCAGAUCAUUUUGUAGCUAACUGCCCCACGGUUCCCUGGUCGUCAAAAGACAGGGUCCACCAACUGUAAAGGGGGUGGUUGGUGGACCAUUCACAGAUUGUUAAGCCCCCCAGAUUCAGCUUACCAGCUACCAUCAUAGUAGAUCAACAUACUUUGCCCUUAUCUGCUUUAAUUGAUUUUGGAUGUGAGCAGAACUUGAUAGAUUCCGAGCUGGUAGCUCAGGCAGGGAUUGAGGUAGAGUCUCUCACUUCACCAUGUUCCGUCUUAGCCUUAGAUGGGAGAGGACUGCAGAAAAUAACUCAACGCACCAAGCCACUAGAACUUCUGCUGUCAGGUAAUCAUAGGAAAAUGAUAUCCUUUUUUGUGUUUCCAGUAUCUCAAAGUGCCAUGGUGCUAGGUUUUCCCUGGUUACAGGAACAUAA